UACAGAGGGUGCGAGCGUUUAUCGGAAUUACUGGGCGUAAAGGGUGCGUAGGUGGUUCGAUAAGUCAGUUGUGAAAUCCCUGGGCUUAACCUGGGAAUUGCAUUUGAUACUGUCGAACUAGAGUGUGGUAGAGGUAAGCGGAAUUCCCGGUGUAGCGGUGAAAUGCGUAGAUAUCGGGAGGAACAUCAGUGGCGAAGGCGGCUUACUGGACCAACACUGACACUGAGGCACGAAAGCGUGGGUAGCAAACAGG
rnacentral:rRNA from 1 species